rnacentral:rRNA from 1 species
GCGGCUGUAGCGCGGUGGUCCCACCUGACCCCAUGCCGAACUCAGAAGUGAAACGCCGUAGCGCCGAUGGUAGUGUGGGGCCUCCCCAUGCGAGAGUAGGGAACUGCCAGGC